UGCUAGGAAAAAUGCCUCCAGUAAUUUUUGAACCAUCAUGUAUAAUCUACAGUCCCAAAUAUGAAGCAUACUUUCCUCUUAAUAUUUUAGUUAUCUACCCUUUCAUCUGUCUGUCCUCACACACACCAACCUCACACCAACUAAAGCCCAUUAGACCGAAGAAAAAACCAUGUCCUGCCAUACUAUCCCUAUAAUUCCUUGCAAAUCAAUUAGAUUUCAUAUCUCUUCUAUUACUAACAAAUAUAUAGGUCAUAGAUGCAAAUUUAAUUAAGGUCCAUGAGUCAUGUAUUCUAUAUUUAACAAUAAAAUUCCAAAUAGUCGGGCGCGGCAACGUGAACCACCAAUGAUCUGUGGCGAAGCAUGGCCACGCGGGCUAGGGGGUCAGACCUCGUUGAUGCAUGUGGCGACACUUGAUCUUUGCAGGAAAUUGAUGAAACAGUCGACUGAACUGAUGAAACAGUGGACUGAAGCUCAUCUGCCUAGGUCCAAGGAAUUGAUGAAUUGUUAGUUCCUGGAAGACAGCUGAUGUGCGCCACUCACCGGAGGGGAUUAAUGAAGCUUUUAUAGGUGGUGUCAUCCUUUUUUUGGUCAACUGACUGAUUCGGGCAAAUCUUGGAGAUUGGUGCUCAUAUUUUUGUUUGUGGGGAGUUCUUUACUUGACAAAUCCGUAAUGGCUGCUUGUCAGGAGGUCUCAUUCUUUGAGGAAGGAGAGCCUAAACUUGAUGGGAAACCUAGAGACUUUGAAGGUUUGCUUUGCCCCUUGGUUGAGAUUUAGCAUGGCAUUGAUGUGACUGACUUUUAUUUAUGUGUGCUGUGACUAACUCCGUCUUAAAGGAGUAACCUAUCGAGCAGUUAAUAAUUCGGACAUCACCGCAUGAUUGCUUCAAAAGUGAAAUCACCAACCUGCAUGAAAAAGAUAGAAUCCGCCUUGUAUAUUUCUAGAGCUUGUGCCCAAUUCUUCAGUUUCUUGCAAGUUGGUUUCUAAGCACUUG